GAUGAACGCUAGCUACAGGCUUAACACAUGCAAGUCGAGGGGUAGCAGGGUAGCAAUACCGCUGACGACCGGCGCACGGGUGAGUAACACGUAUCCAACCUUCCCAUAACUCUGGGAUAGCCUUUCGAAAGAAAGAUUAAUACCGGAUGGUACUUUUUCAAGGCAUCUUGAGAAAGUUAAAGAUUUAUUGGUUAUGGAUGGGGAUGCGUUCCAUUAGAUAGUUGGUGAGGUAACGGCUCACCAAGUCUUCGAUGGAUAGGGGUUCUGAGAGGAAGGUCCCCCACAUUGGUACUGAGACACGGACCAAACUCCUACGGGAGGCAGCAGUGAGGAAUAUUGGUCAAUGGGCGAGAGCCUGAACCAGCCAAGUAGCGUGAAGGAUGAAGGUCCUAUGGAUUGUAAACUUCUUUUAUAGUAGAAUAAAGUGAUCCACGUGUGGAUUUUUGUAUGUAUACUAUGAAUAAGGAUCGGCUAACUCCGUGCCAGCAGCCGCGGUAAGAGUACUCUA
rnacentral:rRNA from 1 species